UGAUUACCAAAAUAUUAAUUAACCAUUCAUAUCACUCAAGAAAGCAGGAUUACAUCUCAACCAUAUUGAGACAUUAAAUUAAUACCUGACUUCAAAUUUAUGUCUGUUUUGCCUUCUAGAUAAACAAAAGUGCCUAAGUCUCUCUCUCUCUCUCUUUUUUAAAGUAUUUAAAGAUAGUCUACAAUUUGAAGACCUGUCAUUUGGAAGAAGGUGUUGUCUUAACCUCCAUUGCUUCAAAGGCAAGAACUGAGGGAAAAGGUGGAAAUGAAAGAAAGAGAAUCUUCAGAAUCCCUAAAUAUGUCACCAGAAAGGCAUAUCACUGAAACUUUGAAACAGAGACUGACCCAACCCAAGCUCAAGACAGAGUUGAAGUCAAAUGAGAAUACAGGAAAUAAGACUUCAGAUGUUCACUGAAAUUGUUGCUGCAAAGAUUUUUCCCAGGUGAGAAAUCUUCUUCUUAUUCUGGCUGCAUUGUUUAGUUUAUGCAAUUAUUUUCUCCAAAUUUAUUUAAUUGUAAUUUCCCUUUUUUAUCUUUUAUAAUCAUUUUUGUAUCUUCUUUAGUUAAGAAUUCUUUC
rnacentral:lncRNA from 1 species